CAGAAAGUCAAACAUCACAAGACCAUAAAAAUGGCUCAACUAGAUUUUUAAACAUUUAAUCAAUUAAAAAUCAUAUUAAAAAUGAAUUAAAAUACCUUUUAAUUUGGACAAAACCUUAAAUCCCUUCAAAACACCAAAUAAAUGGCCAUGAGAUUUAUCCUAGGUUAAACAAGGUCAAAGGACCUUAGACAAAGAAAUUUCACAAUUUUUAGAAAAUCAGAAGUAUUUUUAAACAAUUAAAAAUAUGCACAAAAACAUUUAAUUCAUGAAAAAU
rnacentral:lncRNA from 1 species